UUCAGCUGAUGCCCCUGUGCGAGGCUGAGGGAGCGGUGAUUGGUGGAUGUGCCAUCCCCUUCAGAUGAGAUGUCAGACUGAGCCUUGCACAUUUGCUCAAGUGGAUGUUAAACAUCCCAAAACUUUGACAUUGCUGACAAUCAUCAUCAGAGUCAAUGAUGGAUGGAACCUGAACAUAUAAAUGUUGCUACUGGACUGAAGAAUGCUGAAUGAUUUGUUGCUCACUUGUAAAGGAGGCUGUCAUUCAGGGGCUGCCCAUUAUACACAGUGAUUUUCCAUUGCAAGGGAAGUGUUUAUUCUUUCCAACGACUGGCAUAUGUACUUCCUCAUAACGUGUAACUCAGACAAGGGGAAAUUGAUGUGCUAUUUUGGUGGAUAGAGACCAUACCAGUCUGCUCUGAGGUUGCACCUGAGCCAAUGUGGUCUCAACCACCAAAAGGAACACCCACCAAGUCUGCAUGAAAGUUAAUGAUCUGUGCU